UAAAUAUAAAGUGCUAUACAACCAAAUAUCUACUGGGAGUAGAUACAGUGAUCUCAAUUGGUCUGCUAUGAGUAAGACUUAGUUGGAUGUCACCCAUAGUAAGUCACACAUUUCCUCUUUAUUUCAAGUCUAUUGGUCACUGUCAUGUUUAACAGGUGGUGCUAACAGCUGCUGUUCACCAACGCCACCUUGGUCAUACAUAAUGUGCAUAGUAAAUACUUGCAAUACCUUCUUCCAAAUGCAGAAGGAAACCACCGUGUCUUUUGAUGAGGGCUGGGGAGAAAAUAGUUUCACCAAAAACAUUGUGAAAUUGAUCCAGUGUCAUGACCCCACCACGACCAAAAAAAAAGUAUUUUGUUAAGUCAUACUGCUAAUUAGUUAAUACAUUUUCUUAGGGAUACGUUCACUUUAACUCACUUGUUCAACCUCUGACUCCCCUACAAAUUAUAGCAUGGGGCACCUUUUAAGCCUUUGGGUUUACAUUUUUGCAAUACAUUCCUUUUUUAAAAAGAAAGAGUAAGAAAAUCAAGUGUAAAAAAGGGUUUCCCAAAGCAUUUCAGGUUUAAAAACAGGAUUGCAUGGAAUGGUACAUUGUGUCUUUUAUACAUUUUUUAAAGUCUUCAAUCACUGCCCUUUGUUUGGAAGGUAUUUAACUCUGCACUUCUCAAGUGAAUAGUUGAAAGGACAGUCUAUAAAAGAAUUUUCCUUUAGAUAUUCAGUGGCUGUCCAUUAUAUGAUACUUCUUCUGCUUGGGAUUCUUUUCUCUAAGCAUGUCUGCCUACUUCUCUGUGUUCUGGUAAUAACACAAAUGACUAAGGAUUUAGCUGAAAGUACUAGGGGAAACUGUUUCCCACUGCAAUUCUGGUUCUAUUCUGGAGAACAAGCUGCUGUCUUGUGUGGUAGAGCUGUCAGAAUAGCACAUUUUUAACUAAAGCACGAAAGAGCCAAGUGUGAAUAAUGGGGUUACUAUGUAGUCAUGACAGCAGAAUGCUGACAUGAUACUCAAGAGAGCAAUGGACAUGGGGCCAGAGUUUCACUAGAAAUCAUGUCUUUUACUGGUUAAUUACUGAAGGAUUCCCAUGAAGGAAGGGAGAAAGAAAAGGAAGGAUUAAGACACAGUUGAUCAGCAAACUUCAGUUUCUAAGGAAGAGAAAGGAUGUUUGCAGCAAGGCGGAGAAAGAUUUAGACUGAGUAAAUGAUUUAAAGAGAAGGAAACAAUUGUUAGCCGUUUAUUCUGUCUGAAUCUCAGGAAGGAGGCUGUUUCAGGGAGGCGAGGAUGAACAUAGCAUGUAGUUUACUGCCAUUUAACAACAAAAAAAUCAUGAUGAAGAAUUGAAACAACCCAUUUCAAAGUGAGUGAUGUGUAUUAUAAAUGAUCAGCCUCAUUCUGAGCCAGCAUAGUUUUGAUUGGAUUAAAAGACUCUGUGACAAUCGCCUUCCUGCCAUGCAAUAAACAUAAUGGCUGCAAGAUCCACAUUUUAAAUUGGGCCAGAUUAAAGCUGGUAGGAGUCCUAGGGUACAAAUUAAAUGGAAGUCCUUGUGACAUACAACAACAACAAAACUUCAUUUGCAGUAGAGAAAUAUACUGAAACGCUGGAUCUAGAUCAGAGAUGGGGAAGCUGUGCCUCCCCAGAUAUUGCUGGGCUACAGCUCUCAUCACCCCUGACUGUUGGUCAUACUAGUUGGGGCUGAAGAGAGUGAAAGGGUCAAACUUGGAGGGUCACAAGCUCCCCAUUCCUAGAUAAAGAGCUUUAUUCUGCUUCCAGUUUCCUCCUAGCUCAACACCAGCUCAAAGCCUCUUCACCAGCUGCGUUAAAAAAAAUAACUGAAAAAUGCUGUAAUGAAAAGAAAACCAUUUUAUGGCGGAUUCUUUCCCUCAUAUUCUCUCUCUCUCUAUAUAUAUUUCUGUUUUACAAUUUCAAAUACUCACUUUACAUCCUUAAAAUAUUAAUGAUUCUUUCACUCUCCUGGGCUAUGGAAUUGCUAUGCUUAAUUCUGCUAGAAGGUAUUCUAUGGAUAGAGGAACAGCAGCUUUUCUAGGGCCCAUAAAGAGCCAGAGAAAGGUUUGCUGCAUGGUUGCCUUGGUAUGCGCUACAAAGUGCUUAAUCUAGCCCUUAAAUUGUCUAAAUUGAGGGUCAUUUGGGCAAUCUUUUUUGCAGGCUUCUUGAUUACAAAGGAACUUUUCCCUACGCCAUGUGAACUUCCUUUCUUCCUGUUCCUUUGAUCUUCUCCAGGGCUGAAGAGGAGAGUGAGCACUUCCAGAUGAACAGUGGGCUUUGUUUCCUUAAGGUUACAUUUAGGAAAGUUUGAAAGCUGCUUCCUGGAUUGAGGGAAACUCAUUGUGGCACAGCUUUAGGAAAGUUGGGCCAAAUUUUUAGAUAUACAUCGUAUACACCGCAACAUACUAGCAGCAUAAUGGCUUUGCUCCUACACAAUAGGGGAGCAAAGAUAUACUGCAAUAACUCCCUUUUAGCCAUAAUCAUUCUUAUUGUGGAUAUCCACUGAUUUCAUUCUAUGGGGGGGGGAACCACCCCAAGACCCCGUCCAGGAAGCUGACAAGAAUUAUUUACCGGUACUUUCCCUGUGGAUCCCGUGAUAAUAGUUGUAACAUGUUGAGUGGGCAAUUUAAUGGUCACAUAACGGUUAUGGCAGGCCUUUGUACAAACUUAUUGGAACUGUGGGAAUUCUGAUCACAAAAAGGGCCUUCCUUCCCUUUCCCUUUCCCCUUUUGGUGUUGUGUGUUUUAGAUUGUAAACCUGUGGGCAGGGACUGUCUUGUUUUAACUGAAUGUAUGUAAGCCCUCUAGGAAAGCCUUUUUGGCUGAAACGUAGGGCACAAAUGCUUAAAACAAAUUAAAAGGGGCCUCUGCUGCACAAAGUUUUCCUCUAUAGUCACUUUCUCAGUCAAGCUGUUAAAAUAACAAGAAAGACGUGUAAGUUAACUGUCUUGCUGGUCUGAUACAAUGUAACUCAAACAAAGAGCACUUUGUCAGGUCAAUACUAAUAUUUUCUGGCUGUUACAAUUCUGUGCACUGUAACAGAAAUAUGCAUAGGGAACAUGCUUGGCUUUUCCUUAGAAGUCAAUGGAUGAGUAUAAUAAUGAUUUUAAUUGAACUGGAACUGAAAUAAAAGGGCUUUUACAAGUUUGUAAAUAAAAAUGGAUACAUGUUCCCAUGUAUGACAUCAAACAAUUCUCUUUCCUUUGGCUUAAUUCUUUUGUGG
rnacentral:lncRNA from 1 species